rfam:Crassostrea gigas strain 05x7-T-G4-1.051#20 contig7379, whole genome shotgun sequence.
GAAGUUGUCAAAGUGGUGGUGAUGUGUUGUCAUGUUCGUAUCACAGCCAGCUUUGAUGAGCUUGA